rnacentral:misc_RNA from 1 species
GCGUGUGAGUGGUGAUCGGAUGGAAUGGGCUUGCAUGCUCCUUGCUUGCGCGACGAAUUGUUAGCCCGUCGUCCUCUUCAUAUUCGGCCCCGGGCAUGUAGCACGCUCUGUGGGUGCGUUUGAUAUCCUGUAUUCAUUUCCAAUACGACGGCAUUCGGUGCUUUCGAUGCAUACAUCCGUCCGGCGCCUAUCCAGGUGUCGGGCGAACAAUAGGUUGGCCCCGUGCUCCUAGCAUGCCUUGCAACAUUGUUCGGCUGCCGCGGCGCACGGGGUUGUGCCCGUUCUCUCGGACGCAGAUCGUUGUGUGCGUGGACGAGGGGUUUAGCCCCGUAGUCGUCUGUGUCACGCACUUGUCCCGUAUACCCGAACGACCGUCGCACCUGUUUUGGCUCGGGAGCCACGGCUCUUCGAGGAUCCAUGCGGGUGUCGGCGUCGUUGAGGAAUGC